rnacentral:rRNA from 1 species
GACGAACGCUGGCGGCGUGCUUAACACAUGCAAGUCGAACGAUGAACCCGGAGCUUGCUCCGGUGGAUUAGUGGCGAACGGGUGAGUAACACGUGAGUAACCUGCCCUUGACUCUGGGAUAACUGCGGGAAACUGUAGCUAAUACCGGAUACGACCCUCGGCGGCAUCGCCAGGGGGUGGAAAGAAUUUCGGUCAAGGAUGGACUCGCGGCCUAUCAGCUAGUUGGUGAGGUAACGGCUCACCAAGGCGACGACGGGUAGCCGGCCUGAGAGGGUAACCGGCCACGCUGGGAAUGAGACACGGCCCAGACUCCACCGGGGGGCAGCAGUGGGGAAUAUUGCAAAAUGGGCGCAAGCCGGAUGCAGCAACGCCGCGUGAGGGAUGACGGACUUCGGGUUGUAAACCUCUUUUAGUAGGGAAGAAGCGAAAGUGACGGUACCUGCAGAAAAAGCAUCGGCUAACUACGUGCCAGCCGCCGCCGUAA